rnacentral:rRNA from 1 species
UUCGAAGCAACGCGAAGAACCUUACCAGGUCUUGACAUCCCUUGACAACUCCAGAGAUGGAGCGUUCCCUUCGGGGACAAGGUGACAGGUGGUGCAUGGUUGUCGUCAGCUCGUGUCGUGAGAUGUUGGGUUAAGUCCCGCAACGAGCGCAACCCUUAUUACUAGUUGCCAGCAUUUAGUUGGGCACUCUAGUGAGACUGCCGGUGACAAACCGGAGGAAGGUGGGGAUGACGUCAAAUCAUCAUGCCCCUUAUGACCUGGGCUACACACGUGCUACAAUGGCGUAUACAACGAGUUGCCAACCCGCGAGGGUGAGCUAAUCUCUUAAAGUACGUCUCAGUUCGGAUUGUAGGCUGCAACUCGCCUACAUGAAGUCGGAAUCGCUAGUAAUCGCGGAUCAGCACGCCGCGGUGAAUACGUUCCCGGGUCUUGUACACACCGCCCGUCACACCAUGAGAGUUUGUAACACCCAAAGCCGGUGGGGUAACCUUCGGGAGCCA